AAACAUUUAUUUUGACGGGUUUGGGCCUGGAACAAGCUCCGACAACCCUCUCAUGCCACCCACUACCAAUGCUCCGACUGGAACUCUGAGUCUCAACUACCUUUCCCAACCAUGUCCACCGCCACCGCCACCACCACCACCACCACAAGCGAAGCACCACCAGUACUAAUCCCCUCCCUCCCAGACGACGUCGCUUUGAACUGCUUGGCGCGAGUCCCGCGCUCCCACCACCCCACCCUAUCCCUGGUGUCGAAACCAAUCCGGGCCGUCCUCUCGUCCCCUCUCUUCUUCACCGCACGAUCUCUCCUCAACUCCACCGAGCCCAUUCUCUACAUCUCUCUCCGCUCCCCUCUCUCCCCUUCCCUUUUCUUCUCUCUCAUCCCCAAACAUCAGAAUGACCGAACUCUCACCCCGCUCCCACCCAUCCCCUGCGCCUCCAUCGGCGCUGCCUACGCCGCCUUGGGAUCUACCAUCUACGUCCUCGGCGGUUCCAUCAACGACGUGCCCAGCGCUAACGUCUGGGCCCUCGACUGUCGCUUCAACAGGUGGCAACCUGCGCCGCGCAUGCGGGUCGGGCGCGAGUGCGCCGCCGCGGGAGUGGUGGACGGUAAGAUAUACGUGGUGGGCGGGUGCGUGGUGAACACAUGGGCCCGGUCCACACACUGGGCCGAGGCGUUCGAUCCGGGGACCGGGACGUGGGAACCGGUGGCGAGCCCGAUCGAGGUCCGGGACAAGUGGAUGCACGCGAGCGCGGUGGUGGACGGGAAGAUCUACGCGAUGGCGGAUCGGGGCGGUAUCUCGUACAACGCGAAGAACGGAGCGUGGGAGAGCGUGGAGAGCGAGCUGGACAUGGGGUGGAGAGGGAGAGCGUGCGUGGUAGACGGAGUUCUGUACUGCUACGACUACUUGGGGAAGAUUAGAGGGUUCGAUGUGGAGGAGAAGGCGUGGAGGGAGCUGAGGGGCGUGGAGAGAGGGCUGCCGAGGUUUCUGUGCGGGGCGACGAUGGCCAACGUGGGGGGAAAGCUGCUGGUGGUGUGGGAGGAGAAGGGGAAGGGGGUGGAGAUUUGGUGUGCGGAGAUUGCGGUGGAGGAGAGGGAGGGUGGGAGAGAGCUGUGGGGGGAGAUUGGGUGGGUCGACAAGGUUGGCUCCGUGCCACUGCCCAGUGGCUCUGCUAUUGUGCACUGCUUGGCGGUUGCGGUUUGAUGUAUUGGAAGUGUAGAGUAUGUGACUGCUGGGAUGAUCCAUUGAUCCAUAAAUUCUCUGUGUCUCUCUUCUGACUACCAGAGCAUGCGUAUUCAUCUCGUUUAAAACGAGAGAAAUUUGAAAGCAAGGACGAUAUCUGAUUCCAUUUACGUCGAGGUUGUGAGUGCCAAAGAGUUGGUGGAGAGGAAGGAGAUGGGUGUGUGAGACUUUGGUCUUGUAUUCUACACUAUGCCUUGAUAGUGUAUUUUAAUGUCAAGUAAUGGUGGAUUAUUGCUCAAAACCAUUUCACGAUUGGAAACAAGAAGAGUUGCUUAAGGAGUACCCUUGGUAUGCCUGCUCUCCAUCCAUACUGUUAUAUCAAGUCUCUGCUUUGCACCAUUUUCAUGAUUUGCAUUAACAAGAGUUGCUGCAAGAGUACUCUUCAUGUGCUUGUUCUCCAUAUAAUUUGUUACUUUCAAUCAUCGUAUCAUGUUUAUGCUUUGUAUAUAGGUUGUAAACGAGUCUACGGACUUGCUGGAACAAGUGUUACUGAAUUUUAAAACCUUGAAAUUAACUUUCUGAA